rnacentral:rRNA from 1 species
GACGAACGCUGGCGGCGUGCCUAAUACAUGCAAGUAGAACGCUGACGGAGGAGCUUGCUUCUCUGACUGAGUUGCGAACGGGUGAGUAACGCGUAGGUAACCUGCCUGGCAGCGGGGGAUAACUUUAGGAAACGAUAGCUAAUACCGCAUAAGAGUAGACGUUGCAUGACAUUCGCUUAAAAGGUGCAAUUGCAUCACUACCAGAUGGACCUGCGUUGUAUUAGCUAGUUGGGGGGGUAACGGCUUAACAAGGCGACGGUACAUAGCCGGCCUGAGAGGGAGAUUGGCCACAAUGGGACUUGGACACGGCCCAGAACCCUUCGGGGGGCAGCAGGAGGGAAAUAUCGGCAAAGGGGGGAAGGCUGACCGAGGAAAGCCGCGUGAGGGAAGGAGGGUUUCGGGGCGUAAAACUCUGUUUGUAGGGAAGGAAGAGUAGGAGGGUGAAAAGUUCACACUGUGACGGUAUCUAACGAAAAAGCGACGGCUAACUUCGUG